rnacentral:rRNA from 1 species
UACGUAGGGUGCAAGCGUUGUCCGGAAUUAUUGGGCGUAAAGAGCUCGUAGGCGGUCUGUCGCGUCGGCUGUGAAAACCCAGGGCUCAACCCUGGGCCUGCAGUCGAUACGGGCAGACUAGAGUCCGGCAGGGGAGACUGGAAUUCCUGGUGUAGCGGUGAAAUGCGCAGAUAUCAGGAGGAACACCGGUGGCGAAGGCGGGUCUCUGGACAGUUCCUGACGCUGAGGCACGAAGGUCAGGGGAGCAAACGGG